CCUACGGGAGGCAGCAGUGGGGAAUAUUGCGCAAUGGGCGAAAGCCUGACGCAGCGACGCCGCGUGAGGGAUGAAGGUCUUCGGAUCGUAAACCUCUUUCAGCAGGGAAGAACGGUCACUGUGCUAAUCAUCAGUGAAUUGACGGUACCUGCAAAGGAAGCACCGGCUCACUCCGUGCCAGCAGCCGCGGUGAUACGGAGGGUGCGAGCGUUAAUCGGAAUUACUGGGCGUAAAGCGCUCGUAGGCGGUAUGUCAAGUCAAGGGUGAAAUCCCCGCGCUCAACGUGGGAACUGCCUUUGAAACUGGCAAACUUGAGUGUGUGAGAGGAUAGUGGAAUUCGAGGUGUAGGAGUGAAAUCCGUAGAUAUCUGGAGGAACAUCAGUGGCGAAGGCGACUAUCUGGCACAUAACUGACGCUGAGGAGCGAAAGCGUGGGUAGCAAACAGGAUUAGAUACCCGUGUAGUC
rnacentral:rRNA from 1 species